UUAGAUGUCCGGGGCCGCACGCGCGCUACACUGAAGGAAUCAACGUGUGCUUUCCCCGUCCGCCAGGACCGGGUAACCCGGUGAAACUCCUUCGUGAUAGGGAUAGGGGCUUGUAAUUGUUCCCCUUGAACGAGGAAUUCCCAGUAAGCGCGAGUCAUCAGCUCGUGUUGAUUACGUCCCUGGCCUUUGUACACACCGCCCGUCGCCACUACCGAUUGAAUGAUUUAGUGAGGUCUUCGGACUGGCGCCCGGAGCGGACUUGAGCCGGGCCGGCGUGCCGGAAAGAUGACCGAACUUGAUCAUUUAGAGGAAGUGAAAGUCGUAACAAGGUUUCC
rnacentral:rRNA from 1 species